GCCGGGCGUGGUGGCGCGCGCCUGUAGUCCCAGCUACUCGGGAGGCUGAGGUGGGAGGAUCGCUUGAGUCGAGAUCGGCAUAGCUUCAGUGCGCUAUGCCGAUCGGGUGUCCGCACUAAGUUCGGCAUCAAUAUGGUGACCUCCCGGGAGCGGGGGACCACCAGGUUGCCUAAGGAGGGUUGAACAGGCCCAGGUCGGAAACGGAGCAGGUCAAAACUCCCGUGCUGAUCAGUAGUGGGAUCGCGCCUGUGAAUAGCCACUGCACUCCAGCCUGGGCAAUAUAGUGAGACCCUGUCUCUA
rfam:Cavia porcellus supercont2_26 genomic scaffold, whole genome shotgun sequence.